UACGGAGGGUGCUAGCGUUGUUCGGAAUCACUGGGCGUAAAGGGCGCGUAGGCGGCCUUGCAAGUCGGUUGGUGAAAGCCCGGGGCUCAACCCCGGAGGUGCGGCCGAGACUGCAGGGCUGGAGGCCGGAAGAGGAGGGUGGAAUACCCAGUGUAGAGGUGAAAUUCGUAGAUAUUGGGUGGAGCACCGGUGGCGAAAGCGGCUCUCUGGUCCGGACCUGACGCUGAGGAGCGAAAGCGUGGGGAGCAAACAGG
rnacentral:rRNA from 1 species